GCAAAGUGUCACAAACUUACUCCAGGCUUUCCUGUGACUUUCAGGAAAGCUACCAUCAGAUCCUGCAAGGAGACGCAAUGGCAAAGUGAGCUGUGAAUGGGCGGAGAACAGCCAGGACUCUGGCUCUGACCUGAGGGGAAAAGCACGGCCCUGCCAAGAACACAAAGAGUUUGAAAUGACAGUGACUGUGCUGAGCAAUCCCACAUUAAACACAUAAGCCUGUUUGCUUGGAGGAAAAAUGGAUUGCCUCUGUGAGAUCAAAACUCCAGUCUCCUGAUGCAUGAGACUCGAACUUCGUCUUCAUGGUCAACUCCUCACUGCGUCUCAAGUCCGCCAACAUACAUGAAAACUACUGGAAAACUGGUGGCAGCGGGAAAGCCAUCCAUGUAGAGACACAGACUCCUGCAGCUUUAACACCUUCUGUGGCUCUUCAGGAGAACCAGGUGCGUCUCUGUUGAUUUGCUCUCUGGCAUCGAGGCUGAUACUGGCCGGGUGAUUUAGGGAGCUGGGCAUCACUCCGCCACUGCCUCGAGGUGGAAGAUAUACGUGAGAUUGGUGUUAACAGCACUAAACAGUCUAUGAGUCAGAACAUGUUGUGUGGAGUUUAAUAUGAUGUGCAUCUGCUGCUGAUUAAAGGUGGAUUCCAUUAGACAGAGGGGUGUGUGUGUGUGUGCGCGCGCACAAUAAGGAGAGAUUUCAAGCUAUAAUGGAAACUUCAGUCUCACUGCUGUUGUUUAACAGGAGGUAUUCUGCACCUGCUGGCUGAACAGUAAACAUUGCAUUUUCCAUUGUGUAUUUUUUAUUUAAGAGUCUAAA